rnacentral:rRNA from 1 species
GACAUAGGUGGCAAACGUUAUCCGGAAUUAUUGGGCGUAAAGGAUGCGUAGAUGGUCUAGUAAGUUAUCGGUGGUAAAUCGGGGCCCAACCCCGUGGAAGUUGGUAAUACUGUUAGACUUGAGUAUCGGAGAGGUUAACGGAACUCUCUGUGUAGCGGUGAAAUGCGUAGAUAUAGGGAAGAAAAACAAACGGCGAAGGCAGGUAACUAGACGGCUCCUGACACUGAGGCAUGAAGGCGUGGGGAGCAAACCGG